GUGCUUGCUUCAGCAGCAUAUAUACUAAAAUUGGAGCAAUACAGAGAUUAGCACGGAUCCUGUGCAAGGAAUACAAAAAGUCCUUCUAAAACAUUCAUCACUAAG
rnacentral:snRNA from 1 species